AGAGUUUGAUCCUGGCUCAGAACAAACGCUGGCGGCGUGCUUAACACAUGCAAGUCGAACGAUUAAAGCCGGGCUUCGGCCCGGUGUAUAAAGUGGCGGACGGGUGAGUAACACGUGGGUAACCUUCCCUCUUGUCUGCGGACAACACUUCGAAAGGGGUGCUAAUACCGGAUAAGACCACGAUUCCACGGAAUAGUGGUAAAAGGUGGUGGAAUCAAUACGAUGCCAUUGCAGGAGGAUGGGCCCGCGCACCAUUAGCUUGUUGGUGGGGUAAUGGCCUACCAAGGCAGAGAUGGUUAGCUGGUCUGAGAGGAUGAUCAGCCACAUCGGAACUGAGACACGGUCCGGACUCCUACGGGAGGCAGCAGUGAGGAAUAUUGCGCAAUGGGGGAAACCCUGACGCAGCAACGCCGCGUGAGUGACGAAGGCUUUCGGGUCGUAAAGCUCUGUCAGAAGGGAAGAAAUAUGCUGUAAGGAAAUGUGCAGCAAGUUGACGGUACCUUCAGAGGAAGCACCGGCUAACUCCGUGCCAGCAGCCGCGGUAAUACGGAGGGUGCAAGCGUUGUUCGGAAUCAUUGGGCGUAAAGGGCGUCUAGGCGGUUAUACAAGUCAGAAGUGAAAUCCCUCGGCUUAACCGAGGAAGUGCUUUUGAAACUGUAUAACUUGAGUACGGGAGAGGGAAGCGGAAUUCCAAGUGUAGAGGUGAAAUUCGUAGAUAUUUGGAGGAACACCGGUGGCGAAGGCGGCUUCCUGGACCGAUACUGACGCUGAAGCGCGAAAGCGUGGGUAGCAAACAGGAUUAGAUACCCUGGUAGUCCACGCCGUAAACGAUGAGUACUAGGUGUUGCGGGUAUUGACCCCUGCAGUGCCGCAGCUAACGCAUUAAGUACUCCGCCUGGGAAGUACGGCCGCAGGGUUAAAACUCAAAGGAAUUGACGGGGACCCGCACAAGCGGUGGAGCCUGUGGUUUAAUUCGAAGCAACGCGAAGAACCUUACCCAGGUUUGACAUCCAGAGAAUUUUAUAGAGAUAUUUAAGUGCCCUUCGGGGAGCUCUGUGACAGGUGCUGCAUGGCUGUCGUCAGCUCGUGUCGUGAGGUGUUGGGUUAAGUCCCGCAACGAGCGCAACCCCUGCCUUUAGUUGCCACCAGGUAAUGCUGGGCACUCUAGAGGGACUGCCGGUGUUAAACCGGAGGAAGGUGGGGAUGACGUCAAGUCAUCAUGGCCCUUACGCCUGGGGCUACACACGUGCUACAAUGGCUGGUACAGAGAGUCGCUAACUCGCGAGGGUAUGCUAAUCUCAAAAACCAGUCUCAGUUCGGAUUGGAGUCUGCAACUCGACUCCAUGAAGUCGGAAUCGCUAGUAAUCGUGGAUCAGCAUGCCACGGUGAAUACGUUCCCGGGUCUUGUACACACCGCCCGUCACACCAUGGGAGUUGUCUGGACCAGAAGUCGUUGAGCUAACCUCUUCGGAGGAGGCAGGCGCCCAAGGUCUGAGUAGCGACUGGGGUGAAGUCGAAACAAGGUA
rnacentral:rRNA from 1 species